GCCGCGCCACCGCAGCGCGGCCAUGUUAGGCGGGCUCGGUCCGUGUAAAGUAACCUCGGGACGGGGCACGCAUCGGUGCCCAUUCAGAGGGAAGAUGAGGCUGUGCCUCCUCGUCGCCAAGGCAAACACGAGCUCUGGCCCCCGUCUCGCCGGGCCCCUCCGUCCCGGACGCGAGCCUGCGGGGACGAGGGCCGCGGGGAGUCAGCCCUUGGCGAGGGCGAGCGCGCGUGCGCAACUGCAGCGUCUCACCGGGAAAUCGCCCGGCUCUCGCAGCCGCCCGGAGAAGUCAGCACGGAGUGUGGGGAAAGCGCUGCCCCAGGGCGAGAGAACACAGCCCUUAUGUUCCUUUAUGCUUUUGCAGCCUUAACUUCCUGGCGUCUCUAGCCUGUGGGUUCCAACGAGGUCAGAGUGCUUAUGGCAGAUGUUUUCUUUGGCUUUUGUACGCACCCACAUAAUGCAGAAUGUCUCCUUUCUGCUAGUGCAUGCCCACCCCAGAGGGAGGCCAGCCUGGGAUCAUGGAUUGUCCUCCUACGGGCUGAGCUCUGCCCUCUGAGAAGCCCUCAGAGGGCGUGGCUGUCUUCUGGGAGAAAACUGAUGUCAGGGGUGACACCUAGGGUUUCCACAUCACAAUGCUCCCAGCACCACUCAGUGCUCUGGACAAGUAGGUACCAUCUCACAAGUUUAUUCACAUAGAUGGAAUCACUCGACCAUCCCCCCUGCUCACCUGAUUGUCCUUGACAGUUUGAAUCCUGGCUAAGUCCCAGGGAGGACCCUGGUAUACUCAUGCAGCUAGCACAUUCUUAGUUUGGAGGGUCUGGCUUCUGUAACUUCUUGCAUUGUAAACCCAACCAAAAUGGUUUCUUGCCUCCCCUGAUCUCAUUCGUGCCAUUGUCGUUCACCAAGUGGGGUUGCCUUGCAGAGCUCUGCUCUGGACACACGGUGGGGAAGACUGGAAGGCUGGACAGCCCCAGGGCAGCAUCUCCCUGUGUGCCACUCACAUAAGCUCCUCAAUAUAUCAUCUCUGUUUGUCAUCACACAAACGUGAUGAGGUGUCAUCAGUCCUGAUUUACAGCGGAAGACACUGGUGAAGCACGAGUCCGGGUCUCAACAGUUGGUAAGUGGUAGAGCCAGGUAAGUGUCCAUGCACUUGACUGCUUUAUAUGCUAUAAACCCCUAAGGCAUUAGUGUUAGUCUUGCUUAAGUAUCAUAUAUUUACCAGUGCAGUUGUCUUUUUUGGUACAGCUUAUUCCCUUUUAUCUGAUGUCAUUUUCCUUCUGCUUGGAAGACUUCCUUUGACAUAUCUUAUUGUGUAUAUAUAACUAGAGUCCCCGAAGAAGAGAAACUAUAGGGAGGGCAAAAACAAAUAUUUGAAGAAAUAAUGACUGAAAAAUUUUCAAAUCUGAUGAAAUGAUAACCCCACAGAUCAAAGAAGCCUAUUGAACCCCUAGUGCAAGUAACAUGAAAGUCACUUUAAACUGUCCUGAUGCUCUUCCUAUGUUUUUCUUUUUAAUUCUUUUCCUCUCUUUUUCAUUUUGAAUAGUUUCUAUUGCUAAGUCUUCUGGUCCAGUGAUCUUUUCUUCUAUAAUACACAAUUGCUCUUAAUCCAAUCCAGUGUAUUUUUCAUCAUAGACACUGAGUUUUCAUAUUAGAAGUUCAAUUUGGGUCUUUUAAAAAAUAUAUGUGUUCAGUUAAGUUUUUGAACUGAUGGAAUAUAGUUAUAACGAUUGUUUUAAUGUGCUCAUCUGCUAAUUCUGACACCUGUGCCGGUUCUGGGACUGUUUCAGUUGGUUGAUAUUUCUCUUCAUUAUGUUUUUUUUUUUCCCCUGCUUCUUUCCAUGCCUUGUAAUCUUUGAUUGGAUGCCAGGCCCAGUCAAUUCUCUGCUGAAUCUGGAAAGAGUUUCUUGAAUGAGGCUCAACUGAAUUUUGAAGGAUAUAUAUGGAUUAAAGAAUAAAAUGAGGGAAAAAGCAUUUAAGAAGAAGGAUCAGCAUGUGCAAAGGUCCUGUGGCAUAUUAGGCUUCAUGUUUUUGAGAAAAUAAAAGAGUGUUGGUGUGACUGGAACAAAUAAUGAAAUGGAGAAUCAUAUGUCUUUGGGGUGAAGGCAUGGGCAGGCCAUGCCCUUCCUUCUUCAGGAGCUUUGGUAGGCAUUUUGGUUCUUAUCCUGUAAGCAGUAGUAAUCCUUUAAAGGUUUUAAAUAAGCUCAGAUUUUCAGAAAAACCAUUGCGGCUUCAAUGCAAAGAACAGCUUGCAUGAAUUUCAGAAUAGAAGGGUAGACAAGUUAGGAAACUACUGUAGAACUCUGAGUGAGAGAGGUGCAUGUUUUGGGCCAGGAGUGGAGCAGAGAUGGAAAGAGGUGGGCUGACCUGAGACACGUGAGGUGGGGUGUCUGCUGCCCCUUCCUGUCUGUACCCUGCCAGAUCAACCACCAAGUUCACACAGACCCCUUUCUAGGGGAUAUUAUUUUCAGAGUGAAUAUAUUUCUUACUACUAUGUUCUUAAAUAUACUUUAUCUCAGAUAUCUGAACAUUGUACAUAGUACCUUAGAAAGGAAAUCUAUUCAUUACCUUGUACUUGGCAGGGACUCUAGUGAAUCUCUUCUGAUAUUUGCCUAAGAAUUUCCCUAAAACAUUCAGUAAUGAAAAACCUCAUUGCAAAGGCCUGGCUCGAUAGUCCUCAAACUUUAAUGUGCAUCAGAGUCACCUGACAAGCUUGUCCAAGCACAGAUUUCUGGGUGCACUUCCCAGAGUUUCUGGUGCGGGAAGUCGAGGUUGGAGCCCAGGAUUUGUCAUUUCUGUCAAGUUCCUGAGUGAUGCGGCUGUUGCUGGUGCAGGGAACACAGUUGAGAACCGCUAGUUCAUUAGAGGCGGUGUAGCUAAGAGGUCAACUUGCUGGGCUUGACACAGAGCUGCCCGUUUCUAGCGAUGUGAGUGGGCAAGUUGCUUACUGCUCUGUGGCUUUGUUUCCUCUUUUGGGUCUUGGUGAGGCUUGGAAUGAGGAAUGUUUGUAAAGCAUUAGUGGAGAUGCAAAACGAGAGUAUACAAGCUUUUAUAACAAGAAAAUAAAUUCGACAUAGCUAGAAUAUGCCACAAUUCUCAGUGCACAGUGGGACAGAUGACGCUUUUGGUUCAUUCUUGGAGAACACUAGUCAAAUCCAGUGCCAUAUCCCAAUGGGAGUCUCCAGUGAACAGCCUGGAGAGGAUUCAAGCUCUGUUCCGUCUCUGUCUCCUCGGUUUGGGUAAAUCUGGAGCAGAUCUGUGUGUCAGGUGAGUGUCUGCCCCUCCUCUCCUGCCUGGAUCCCCACAGCUUUGCCUGCCCCUAAACGGAGUCACAUUUGGGAUGAGACAGUUGAUGAGGGAGGCAGAGGGCUGACUCGCCCACAGGGGCUGGCUCUGGGCAAGCUUUCCCAGGUCGCACAAGCCACAGCGUUUCCGACACAGACAGAUAGACUGCCUCUGCUGGUCACUGGGGUGUCAGGAGGUGGCAAGGAAAUGACCCAUGGGAGACCGUGUCAUCCAAGGUUUGGAUUCCCCCAGAUUCCUUAGCCAUAAACAAGGCACGGCUCACCUAUACAGUCCAUUUCUGAAAUUUCCACAGAUAAGAGCUCAGUGGCCUUUAACUGAGGCUUGCACAUGGGAAUCCGAGUCUUCCAGAGUAACCCCAAGGCCUGGAGUGGAGAGAGAAUGGAACUGGAAGACAAGGCAGCUUCUGCCGAUCCACCCGUCAGCAGCCUGCCCAGCCCUGGAAUCCGCAGCUAGGCGCCAGCCCUGGGCUGGACGGGCAAGCUGUCUUCCAAAGCCUCCCAAGUCCUCUUUGGAGAUGAAAGCCAGAGAUUAGCAACCAUCCUGACAAUUUGUAAAAGCCAUAUUAUUGACUGUUAUUUAAAAUAUCCCUAAGUUGGGAUAGUUAUUAACAUAAACAUAAAACAUAUUUACAUUCUUUAAAUAUGAUUGAAGAUAUUGAAUCAAGCUUUAAAAACUAAAGUAACUUGGAAAUGAAGUCAAAGUCAGAACAUGUAGUGAGGGAUUAAUUAGAAAACUAUGAAAAAGCAAGGCUGGGAUCAUUUCCAGCAAAUGAUUUUGUCACCAGGAAUUCCAAGGAGGCAAAUUAGCAAUAAGUUGCAUAGUCGGCCACUUGAGUAAAAUAGGCAAGGGUAAUUUUUCUCAUUCACCCAAUUGUAUUUCUCAUACAAGGAUGACAAAUGCUCUCUCUUGUCAUUUUAUUUUUAUAAUAGUGAUUCUUUUUGUUUUGCAUUGCCUGGCUAUUGCCAUGUGGACAAAGCAACUUUUUCCAUCCUAUUUUAGUUCUCAGAGUGUAUUGAUUUUUAAUUUCCUGGAGCCAAUUGUCUUUGCAACAAUAUUUUAUUCAGUAUGAGAAGUAGUGCCAAUUUUAAACAUUUAUAGACUUGUUUCUCCAGGGAAAAACAGCACAAGCUAGAAAGAAAAACUAAAAUUUUAUUUGAUGAGAUUCAAAUGGCAAUUGAGUGUUUGAAUAUAGAAGUCCAUUUAUGAAAUGAUAUCCUGCCAAUUUCUAUCCACUUUUUGGAGAGAGAACAUUUUCUGAGGAAUCCAAAUGAGUGGGAAUUUGCCAUUGUCUUGGAAGCCUAACGGAAGAUACAGCAUAUAAAUUUUCCCUUUCUAAAUAUAAAUACACAUAUUUUUAAAUUAAUACAUUAAUGGAUCACAUUAUAAUGUUGCUUUUAAAACAUUUCGUUUUGUUUUUUGCUUGUCUUCUCCUUGUUGCCCUCCCAAACGCCCUCCCUGCCUCCUGGACAGGUAGCUUGUGAUGCCAGCGUGUGGCCUGUGACUUCCCCUACACACGCGGGCCUGCGUGUGUGCGCACAGAGAUUUGCCUGAUUGUUUUUUAGAAUAAACUGUAGAAGUGGCCAUCUGGACUGAACUCGGUGCCCAUGAAGAUGUUGCUGUGUGGCGAACACUCGCACGCAGCAGUGCACGCAGCACACAGCACCUCGUUGGUGCAGAGGGAGUGUGGGCAGCGUUGACACAGCCCCGGCCCAACAGUGGAAAAGGAGGGGAACUACAGUGAGACAUGGAGGCCUGAGGAGAAAAAGUCACUUUUCUAAGGCUAAUAUGCCAAGAGGAUUAACACCAAGAGGAUUAACUACCAGGUAAUAUUGUGCACAAGGAACAAGUUUGCAGUGUUAGUGAGAAAAAGAUGAUUCUACUAGCAUGACUGGAUAAUUCGUUAAAAUGUAAUUUUUACUUUGGGCUCAUAGUUGCCCUUCCAACUCCAAAGGCUUUGCCUAAGGGCCAUUGCCUAGAUGGAAAUGAGCUGCCGAGCUCUAUCUUCCUGGUGUGUGUGGCGUAUGUUGUGUGUGUGUGUGUGCAUGUUGUAUGGCAUGUGUAUAGAAUGGGCUGUGUGUGUGUGGAGGGGGUGUAUGUUUUACACCAGACUUGUUGAGGAUUAUUUGUCGGGCCCUCCCAGGAAAGAGGCUGCAGGCAGAGGGCCGGGUAUCUUGGGACAGAGGAGGCAGCUGUGACUGUGCAGGGGGUGCCAUUCCCUCGGACAGGGAGGCCAGGCCAGUGGGAGAAGCCCUCUUGGGGGGUCCAGCUUGCUCACACUCCCGCGCGGCUGUUCACCCGUGGCCUGUCCUGGCUGGGAAGGUGUGUGUCCCUGCAGUGAGGGGUGUGGACAGGAAAAUGGAAGACCUUUCCGAAUAUUCUGCUUGUCACUAGGCCCCUAGGACCGUGGAGAGCUGGAAGGAGGUUCCCAUCAGGCUGGAGAUUGAACAAAACAGCUGCAGAGUGGAGGGGGAUUCGGACUCAGGUUUCAUUUGCUUUCAGAAAAAAUAGCAGACAUUUCUUGUGUUCCCAUGUUAGUGAGUGCAAGUUCAUUUUUACUACACAGGGAGAAAAUAUCUUAGGCAUAUCUUACUAAUGUAGCCAAGCUAUUAAUGAACAAAAAGAUGCAGAUGAAUCAAAUAUUUUUAGCUCGGUGAGCAAAUGAAGAAAUGGGUACCAGACCACUAGGCAAUGAGAGCUUGAUUGAAGCUUUGCAUCUGGUUCCUCUUGACCGAAUUUGAGACCAAAUAUGCAUUCAAGGUUUCCUGCACUUAAUGUAAAAUGCAAUUUGAAUUUCAUGGGCCUCAGCUGAAGUUUGGCUUUAGUGAUCCAACAGGCACAAAACCACACAAAGCUAUAAUGAGCUAGGCAGGCUCAAAAUUUCUUUUCCAUGUUAUAAAAGCAAUAAAAUCCGCCUCUCAGAAUGUUUGGAAAACAGACAAUAGUUACUCAUAGCUCCCCCCAAUAUAACUUUUAGCAUUUUAUUGGACACUCAGUGUUCUUCUUACAAAAAUGAAAAGACUAUUAUGUAGAGGUGUAUAUAUAUUUGUAUUUAUAUGAUCAUGAAAAUAUUCACACAAUAUAAAAUGUGCACUCUGUUACUUCACAACAUAUUGUACAUUUUUUCAUGUUUUUAUACAUCAUUAUGAUUAUUGUUUUACUUCUCUCUUAUAUUCCAUUGCACGUAUAUCUAGUUCCUUAACUAUUCUCCCUUGGCGGGUGAUCAGGAUGCCACCUAUUUUCUGCUACUAGCAAUAAUGGUGCAGCCAAAACCUUUGUGCAUGAAGCUAUGGGCCAGAAGGCAGGACCCUUCCCCGAGGCUUGGUGUUUCACACAUGUCACCAAGCCGCUUCUGCAAGAGCUGUGCCCGUUUGCACCCCACAGAGCCUGUUCUGCCACGUGCUCGCCGUGUUGACCAUUUGCCAUGUCCGUGUCAGCCCUCACUCCCUCACUCUGAGAGUAACGGGAGAUCACGCUGCCUCUCACCCUACAGGCCAACUGAGGUAUCGGGGGCACCCAGCUGGGCCAUGGUUUUUCUCUGAUGUUCAAUGUGCAGUCGCCUUCUAGAGUCUUAAAUGGGAACGGACACAAAAGCUCUUUGAACUCAGCUUCCAUUUAACCUCACCGUGAUGAUCAGAUUUGUGUGUCAACUUGACAGAUCACAGUCCCCAGUUAUCCAAUCAACCUUAGAUAUAGGUGUUGCCAGGAAGGGAUUUUGUAGGUGCAGUUAAAGUCCAUCGUCAGUUGACCUUAAGUAAUGGGGAUGAUCCCAUGUGACCCGGGCAGGUCUGGUUCAGACAGUGGAAAGGCCUCAAGAGCAGAGCAGAGGCUUCCUGAGAAGGGAGAUUCUGCCCAUGGACAGCAGCCUGGGCCCGGCGCCAGAGCUCCAGCCUGCCCUUCUGCGAUGCCUGCCCAGCGGAUUUGGGACCUGCCUAGCCAGCCCCCAUGAUGGUACAACUAUGGUUAAGUGACGGUUUUAACUUAGAGAAACGUGACACAGACAUCAGGAAAGACAAAGAGGCUCGAAAGCACAACGUCAGGCUGAAGAUAGUUGAGUCGAGCACUUGGGCUGAACAUGACUUGCCUUUCCAGGUACUCUAAAUCAUUUGCCUACAGAGGAAAAUCGGCAGGAGCUGAUGAGUGGUGCCCCCUGCCCCAAGCAAAGCAGAUCACGCAAAGCUGGAUUUUCACAGGAACAGAAAGAGGGGUGCUUUUAUAUUUUAAGCCACUUUUGUUAGAUAAGAGUUCUCUAGAGAAUUUAUUCAAAUUCCAAGUCCUUCUCCAAACAAAACAUAAUUUGACUGUCAAAAAUUUGACUCAGUCAACUGAUUCCACUGGGUAGACACAGUCUCAGAGAGAGAACGGGGCCUCCCUGGUCACCGUGGUGCGCCCCCUCCCCAGGAAACAUGACAGCAUGAGCCAACAAGCAUGCCGGGGCCUCCCUGGUUUGUGCUGGUCCUGUGUUCUCUGUGGCUGGGCAGAGCCAUAUGGGACUCAUUGAGUGUCCUUCUGCCUUAGUCUUGGCCACACCGAGGUGACUGGGGGAAUCUGUGACUAGUGAAUGAAUGAAUGACACUGAGGAGCUCAUAAAGCUGUGGGAACUGUACAAACAGGGCUGCAAGCUUCCCAGGAAGUCCCUAAUUAAUCCUUUGAACCCUUCCAGUCAGCUAGGGUGGCAACUCACAGUACCCCAAAAAGACUGUGGCAGGGUAGCAGGGACAGCUGUAAGGUCAGCUGAGAGGGUGGGGUGGAGCUGAUGGGGAAGAGGUCAGUGAGAUCCUGUCCUUGACCUGGAAUUGUCACCCCACCUGGUUUGGUCUUCUCAUAGCCUAUAAGCCACCCAUGCCCUCUGGUUGGACAUCCUGCUAUCCCAAGACAAAACAACUCACAAGAAAAGUCAUAAAGCACCUAUUUUUCCUAAUCUGUGCCCCACUUUGUAUCCCUUUCUGUAUCACCUUACCCAUGCCAGUGUACAGCAUGCGGGCUCUAGACUCAAGACCCAGCUUCAUAUUAGCAAAUAAUUGGGCCUGUGUUGUCAAGGAAAAAGGUAUUCCUUUCCUUGCUGAAGCAUGGUGGGGCAGGCUUUGACAGCCGCAGUAGGAGUAGGGAUCACGGCAAUGGGGUCUUGCAGUGGGGGGAGAGAUUGAGCCCAACUCCAAACACAAUAAGGAGAAGUGGGAAUCUGCAGCCAAGGAGCAAAGCCUGGAGGGGAGGUCACUGGAGGAAAAUGACGAAGAGGAAACAUCAGAAGUGAGGAGGCUUCUGGCUCAACCUACCUUACAGCGUCCUUGCUGGAGCCGGGCCAGGGUGAGCAGACAGCGCCUGGCGUGGUGGGGGAUGAGGGAUUUGGUCAGAUGUUGUGGGUGAUCAGAUGAUUGAGAGUGGGAGGUUCUGGCAAAGCCAAUUUAGCAAGAUUCUUCCUAAAACUGGACAGUGCCGAGAUGAAAACGGGAGUCUAAAAGUCAGGCCUAGUUGAGAAAGGGUUUGGGGGUCCCAGUAGAAUUGGGUCCAGGAGACAAUGUCAGUGUUUUCUCACAAAUGGAAUGAAUGAGUUGAACUAGAACAAAGAUUUGUAUUCUAAAAACUCUGUGAUCCUUUUGCUGUCCCUGUAGGUCCCUUAUUUCCCCAACUAAAGUGGUGAUCUUUCAGGGCAAGGACCUUGGCCUCCCCACGUUGUUUCGCAGCACAGGGGCACUCAGUGCACACUUGUCAGCGGGAUGGAGACCCAUCCUGGCUUCUGAUGAAUCCAGCUACUGGGAUGAUGGGGAAGCUUCAUAAGCAUUUGUUUCUAUUUAAAAGCGAAUAAAUGAUUAGGAAGAAAAACUCAGCUGACAUGGGAGAGACAGCAGCAGUCUGACAAAUGCACCUUGGGACAUGGCACGGAAAUCAACGCAGAAAUAGGGCUUUGUUUACUGGAAUUUACUCUGCAGGCUGUGGAGCAAAGCAAAUCCCCCAAGCCAGCUGGAGAACCCCGCACGACAGCGUUGGCCCCGGCGUGCCUGUGGUGCCCCUGGCACAGCCUCUCCGCAGCGUGGCUGCCGGCCAAGCCUGGACCCCUGUGCAGCGUGGGCCGUGAAGGCCACACAGCUUCCUCCAGAUGCAGAGGCGUUGCCUCCCUCACGAGGCAGCAAGAACGGGCUUGGGGUUUCCUCUGGGUAAUUUCCAGUGUCUUUGUUGAGAAAGGACAUAAUUUGAAGAGAACAGGUCAAACUAAGCUUUUAAGAGGACUUUAAAACAUCCCAAAUUAAUGCUUCCAUCAGACACAUCUGUCCACCAGGACAUGCUGGCACUUCAAAGAGGCAAUUCCCAUCAAACCUCCUUCCGACCGUGCGGAUGGGGCUGGGCGGCAACGUCCCUCUCGCCAACAGAAGCACUUGGGACUCCCUCUCCCAGGGACCGUCACCAGAGACUGCUCGCCGGGAGCUCUCUGUCUCGGCAUGUCUGGAACUCAAAGGAGAGCCCGAGAGAGUUCACACAAGGGACGUCUGGAAACACGGGCUGUUUUCAAAGCUCGCACCGCUUCAUGUCCGGCAGUCCCUCCCCCCUCCCCAUAGUGUCCACGCUGCAGACUCCAAGAGACAAGCAAGAGAGGCCUGUCACAACCAAUUGUUGCCAUCCCAGGGCCGCAGGGCUCGCUGGUGUCAGCAAGCCUCUCUGUGAGCACCGGCUCCCUGUCCCUGGCCCCACACCUGGGGCUCCCCACCUGCUGGCCACAGACAGCCGCCUCAGGCUGGGCUCCCAACUCUGCCUCCCGCGGCCAGAAAUGAGCAGCUUAGAUCUGCAGCCCGCCCUGCAGAACGGAGGCAGCCGGGGCUGUGAUGCCCUCAUUUUGUAAGCUUUAUCUAUUUUUUUUCUCAUUGCAGAAUGAAUGUGUUCUUAUUAAAAAAGAAAGUUAUGAAAAUAAAAAUAUGAAAAGAAAAUGGGCUGCACUUGCUCUGGCCGACCUCAGUCACCACUCUGUGACCCUGCUGGCGCCCCUCCAGGCGCUGAGAGCACAGCCUGGAUCCAUCGCCCGUCCGCGCUCCCCUGCUGCUCUCGCUCUGCCCUCUCCUCCGUGCUCACCUGGGCCGUGGCACUUGCUAUCCUGUGUGUGGGAUGUGAGUCUUGCAUUUCCUUGUGCCUGGCUCCUGCCUGCCACCCUGGCCCUCUCCACAUUAGCUCUGCAGAGAGAGGUCCCCAUGCCCUUCCCAUCCCUCUCUCUGCCUUACACCACUUCGCGCUCUGAGCAGACCUCCCCGCUGUGUGCACUCUCCGCCCUCGUCUCUCUUACCUGCUGGCUCAUUCCAGCCCCAGCUAGAGGAGACGCAGCGGGGUCCGGCCUCGUCUCUCUUACCUGCUGGCUCAUUCCAGCCCUAGCUAGAGGAGACGCAGCGGGGUCCGUCAGUUCCUCAAGGUCACUCGCCAGGGUAAAAGAUGCGACAAUUUCUGGGACAUGUUGAGUUGUUCUCUAGAGAGUUUGUGUCAAUUUAUACUUCCACCAGCACAGCCUGGCUCUUGCCUGUUUUCUCCAGCCCUCGCGAGUCCUGCGGGGAACUUGACCCGGUUCCCAAAGCUGUCUCUCGCCUCAGCCUCAGGUUGGCAUUCACCGUCUGUGCCAGCUCCCCGUUACCCAGGGCGUCAAAUAUUAACUCUGUGACUGAUCCACUCACUCCUCCACUUCUUUUCAAAGUCAGUCUAUCAUCACGCCCUCUUCCCCCAAAUGUCCGUGAAGGAGAUCAAAUUUCUCAGAAGGAAGCAGUUGCCUGUAAGAGGCCAGUGACCCUGCUAGGUUAAGCUCCGGCCGAUGGCCGCUUCUCGCCUCUCGCGAGCGGUGUGUGCGCGGUGCCGCGUGUAUGUUUUCUGCUCUCAUCUUCACAGCAGCCUGGAGACAGAGUUACUGCGAUACGUUUCCUAUU